AAAAAACUUAAAAAUUGCAGUGAUGUUACUUGGCUGCCAACUUGAAAGUUAAUGUAGAUGUUUCAAAAGUGAUUUCUCCUUCUUCAAUUAUUCACUUCAACUCAAAAUUAAUAUAUAGCUUGAUCUUAAAGUCUUCUAACACCAUGCCAAAUUUUGCCUUGAUCCAACUAGUAGAUCUUCAGAUAUUAUAAAAAUCCUACCACACUCCAAUUGCCAAUUUCUAAUACCCUCUUGUACCAAAACCCAGAUAUCUCUCAAUUUCACUAUUAGAUUAAUGUAAAAUUUUAUACACACUUAAUACACCUAAUCAACAAAGUAUUAUCAAAUUUUAAAUUGUAGAUUGGACACCAAUUAUUCCAACUUCAUGAGAGUGCUAGCCCUAAUUUUAUUGCAUAAAUUCCAAAUUAUCAAUACAAAUCUUAAUUUUGAACAAUAAUUACAAAGUCAUUCCAAAUCCUAUGAAAACAAGCCUUACACCUUUAAAAUAAGCUUGGAGCUAGCUUAUGAAUCCUAAUUUUUGAUCUUUGAAUGACUCCUUACUUUGCCUUAAGUAGCCGCUUUAAUAUCUAGAGGUCUAAUUUUGACCCUGUCCCAUGAAUGGUCAACCUCCAAAUAGAAAUUCAACCUAUCUUAGGGAUUUUUUAGCCCAAGCCUAUCAU
rnacentral:lncRNA from 1 species